AUUUUUGAGAAUUUGAUCCUGGUUCAGGAUGAACGCUGGCGGCGUGGAUAAUGCAUGCAAGUCGAGCGAUCUUUCAUUGCUCCGCAAGGAGUUAUGAAGGAUAGCGGCGAACGAGUUAGUAACACGUAGGAACUUGCCUCAAAGACGGGCAUAACCCCGCGAAAGCGGGGCUAAUUCCCGAUAGUCUCCGACCCUCGCAAGAGGCGUCGGAGUAAAGGAGCAAUCCACUUUGAGAGAGGCCUGCGGGCUAUCAGCUAGUUGGUGGGGUAAUGGCCUACCAAGGCGAUGACGGCUAGGGGGCGUGAGAGCGCGUUCCCCAACGCAAGGGACUGAGACACGGCCCUGACUCCUACGGGAGGCAGCAGUAGAGAAUAUUUCGCAAUGGGCGAAAGCCUGACGAAGCGACGCCGCGUGGAGGAAGAAGGUCUUCGGAUCGUAAACUCCUUUUGACAGGGAAGAAAGCCGUAGCAAUGCGGUUUGACGGUACCUGUAGAAUAAGGCGCUGCUAACCUCGUGCCAGCAGCCGCGGUAAUACGAGGGCGCCAAGCGUUAUCCGGAUUUAUUGGGCGUAAAGAGUUCAAAGGCGGUUAUGUUAGUCCAACGUUAAAGCUCGGGACUUAAUCCCGAAAGUGCGUUGGAACCGGCAUAACUUGAGGAAAUUAGAGGCAAGUAGAACGGCCGGUGUAGGGGUGAAAUCCGUUGAUAUCGGCCGGAAUACCAAAGGCGAAGGCAUCUUGCUGGGAUUUUCCUGACGCUGAAAGAACGAAAGCGUGGGUCGCGAAUGGGAUUAGAUACCCCAGUAGUCCACGCCCUAAACGAUGAGUGCUCGCUGUAUGAAGUAUCGACCCUUCAUGUGGCUUAGCUAACGCGUUAAGCACUCCGCCUGGGAAGUACGAGCGCAAGCUUAAAACUCAAAGGAA
rnacentral:rRNA from 1 species